UGGUUCUGGCAUCGAUGAAGAACGCAGCGAAAUGCGAUACGUAAUGUGAAUUGCAGAAUUCAGUGAAUCAUCGAAUCUUUGAACGCACAUUGCGCCCGCCAGCAUUCUGGCGGGCAUGCCUGUCCGAGCGUCAUUUCAACCCUCGAGCCCCCGGGCUUGGUGUUGGGGGACGGCCCGCCCGCCGCGGCGGGCCGCCCCCGAAAUGAAUUGGCGGCCACGGCGUCCGCCUCCCCUGCGUAGUAGCACAGCAGUCUCGCAACGGGAGCGCGCCGCGGCCACUGCCGUAAAACGCACAACUUCUCAAGAGUUGACCUCGGAUCAGGUAGGAAUACCCGCUGA
rnacentral:misc_RNA from 1 species